rnacentral:rRNA from 1 species
CCCUUAGAUGUUCUGGGCCGCACGCGCGCUACACUGACGAAUGCAACGAGCUUAUAACCUUGGCCGAAAGGUCUGGGUAAUCUCCAAAUUUCGUCGUGAUGGGGAUAGAUUAAUGCAAUUAUUAAUCUUCAACGAGGAAUGCCUAGUAAGCGCAAGUCAUCAGCUUGCGUUGAUUACGUCCCUGCCCUUUGUACACACCGCCCGUCGCUCCUACCGAUUGAAUGGUCCGGUGAAGCGUUCGGACCGUGGCCUUUGGACGGUUCGCCGUCUGUUGGCUGCGGGAAGUUCGUUAAACCUUAUCAUUUAGAGGAAGGAGAAGUCGUAACA